CCUUUACAAGGUGAAGCUUUGGCGCUUCUUUUGGCGGCUCGAGUGGCCAAACAGCUAUGCAUUUCUCAGCCCACUUUCCUCACUGACAAUCUGUCUUUGGCGUCAUGGGCAGCUAGCAGAAAGAUUAAGGAAUCUACUACUCCUUGGACUAUAAGGAAAAUUCUGGCUGAUUUCUUCUGCUACUCCUCAGAUCUUCAGUCCCAGGUGUUUCACAUCUCUAGGGAGAUCAAUGGUAUUGCACACAAUGUAGCUCACCAGGUUCUAACAUCAGUGGUAGAACCUGAUAUAUGUUGUUUCGCUUCAGCUCAUCGGAAUAUGACUUGCCCUGUAGUUUCUCUUCUCUCUACUUUUCAAUUUCAGGGCUUUGUAAUUCAUGCUGUACGUUGU
rnacentral:rRNA from 1 species